CUGGUAUGUACGCCACUGUGUGUGUGUAACUGCCUGAAACUGUGUGUGUGUGUGUGUGUAACUGCCUGAAACUCUGUGUGUGUAACUGCCUGAAACUGUGUGUGUGUUUGUGUGUGUGUGUGUAACUGUCUGCCUGUAACUGUGUGUGUGUGUAACUGUCUGGCUGUAACUGUGUGUGUGUGAGUGUGUAACUGUCUGUAACUGUGUGUGUGUGUGUAACACUGUCUGCCUGUAACUGCGUGUGUGUGUGUGUGUGUAACUGUCUGCCUGUAAC